ensembl:lncRNA
UUUCUUAUUACUGUCCCAUUUCUAACUGAGGCAAAUCAUUGUUCAACCUUUUCUCUGGCAUCAUUAUUCCCUUAUGCUAGGAAAGCGUUCCAGUCAGUGCUCUGUCUAGAGAGCAGUUCUGCUGGGUGCGAGCACGCACUUUACACGUGCCUUUUAGUAAACUGUACAUUCUGGGGAAGUAUUUGUCACAUAUGAAGAGUCUAGACUACCCAGAUGAGACCAUUACGUUGUCAUCUGGCCAUAACCCAAAACAAAUAUUAUCCCUCCCGUGACUACAUUAGACUAAUAUCACUAAGUCCUUAAAUACUCCCAAGCGUUCUUGUUUCCUCCUGGCUUGUGUCCUGUUCCAUCAGAAUGAAGCAGGCUUGUGCACUGUGCUGCAGCUCUGAUGAGGAAAUGGGCCAUUUGGUGGCAUUUCAGCCCAUUUGCUACACACAGAUGGGCAGAUGGAGUGCUGGCUGUGCACAUCGGCUUCACCCAAACCAGUCUGUGGUCACUCAUGCCAGGGACCUGCUGCAGGCCUUCUCACCUUUGGGGAGCUUAUGGUGUCCUUUGAAUCUUCGAACAUUCUUCAGGACUGAUAUUUAUGCCUGCUGGAGCCUGAGGAGCUGUUGGGUUGGAGGAUCUUUUUUCCCAACUCCAAAGCCAGAGCUGCCUCAAGCUGUGCCUCCCGGACUGCCCAAUCAGCCUCAGAUUCUGCGGCAUCACAGAAUCAUGGAGUAUCUGAGACUGGAAAGGACCCACAAGAAUCAUUGUGCCCAACUCCUGGCUCCCCAAAAUCAAACCAUAUGAGUGAGGCAGACAUCCUCCUGUUUGUUCUUGAAUGAGGGCAGAGUUCCCCUUUCUGGCCUGGGAGAAGAUCAUGAUGGUGUUUUUCCCUGGGAAUCAAAUCCCCGUUCUUAGUUCUCCUGUGAUCUAAGGGCCUCAUAAGCUGAGGCAUUGCUUUCUAUGACAAAGCCUUCCUUCUCACUUCCUCUCUCUUCCCCUCCAGCCAGGGCAGUUUCAGCAGAGGUAUCACAAUAGUGUCUCUGCCCCACAACAGGGCAUGAUGCUGGGGCUGGGCUGUGAAGGAGGAUGCCUGAAGUAAAACUCCAAGAACAACCAUGCUAGGACAGAUCAAGAGGCCAUGCAUCCCACUCCUGUCUUUGAAAGUCAUUAGUAGGAGAUACAUAGGGAAACAACAUAAUAAAAAGAGAGAAAAGGAGCAACGUUUACUGUAUCAUACUUGCCCAGCUUCUAGAAAUCAGCAGCUCAGGAAAAAUCAAACCUUUCUUUUCCUUUUCCUUUUCCUUUUCCUUUUCCUUUUCCUUUUCCUUUUCCUUUUCCUUUUCCUUUCCCUUU